UAACACAAGAACCAAAAGCCAAUCUUGGUCGGGACAUGUCCUCGACUUCGACAAAUGACAAUGAAAAUAAAAAUGAAAAUGAUAAUCCUAAUGUUAAGAAAACUUUCAAAUAUAGUCUAUGAUAAGAACUGAUGAAAUAUCUAUGACUUUCAAAGUAUGGAAGCUUACCACUUAAUCACAAAGAAACAACACAUCAAGCUGAUCCACCUAACUCUAUGUAAGAAAAGUAGAAGUAGCU
rnacentral:lncRNA from 1 species